rnacentral:tRNA from 1 species
AAGACGCCAGUAGAACGCGACAAAUACACCGCCUUGUCGAGGCGAAAUUGCGAGUUUAAACCCCGCACGUCUA